rnacentral:rRNA from 1 species
GUCUGAAACGACUCUCGACAACGGAUAUCUCGGCUCUUGCAUCGAUGAAGAACGUAGCGAAAUGCGAUACUUGGUGUGAAUUGCAGAAUCCCGUGAACCAUCGAGUUUUUGAACGCAAGUUGCGCCCGAAGCCAUUAGGUUGAGGGCACGCCUGCCUGGGUGUCACUAA